GUGAUCGUCGAAUCUGUUGACCUGGCGCCACCGGAAAAAGAAAUUCCCGGGCCCUGGCUUCUUGGCCUGAUGGUGCUAAAGUGGAGGGCCUCCCAUGGGGUGUUCAGCCUGGGUGUGUAGAAGCACACAGUGUGGUACAGAGGACCCUCUCCAGACAGCUGCCUCCCACCAACCCUAGAAAUGAUGCUGGGAGCUGACAGAAACUGAACUUAGGAGCACAGGAGGCCAGGAGACCUGGGACAGAGAACAGGAGGUGACCCCUCAUGCUGCUGCUCCCUCUGCUGAAACCCAAACUGCAAACCUCUCCUCUCCCUGCCUUCACCUUGCCCCACGGCUUCCACAGACAGUGCCUCAACCCCGAGGAAUGAAUCCGAAGUUCCAACACCACUGACUUUCCCAGGAACUCAGAGCCAGAGAGGGCCAAGGACCAGCUCGAGGACACACAGCCAGGGCUUCUUCCCUCCGAAACCCCCAAGGACUGGACUUGCAGGGCUGGGACAGAGGUGGGGUGGGGGAAAGCAAUGCCUUGUCAACCCACGUGGGGAGCCCCACUCCCAUCCCCAAGGUGCAUAAAGUUGAGGAACACCCCUGCUCCCACGUCCAUGCUCAUUCAGGGCCCUGCUCCAAGUGCUUGGCACUCACACCAG
rnacentral:lncRNA from 1 species